GAGGGGUAUGUAUGAGUGUGUGUACACUAAGGGUUUUGGGGCAUGCCGAAACAUACUGAGCCAUAGUUAUCAUUCUCAUACACCUUACCCUUUAGAUGCUGGUAGAAGCUAGAGCAAGCAUUAGCUUGUUUCAACUGUUCCAUCUGUAUGCUUGUAAGCUGCCAGUUUGCCAGAGAAACUGGCACUGAAGCGAUGGAGACGCACGGUACUUUACUAGUACCCAUAAAUGUUUCUAAACUAUGGCUUGAUCGUGAACGAAUUGUCCGUGGAAAUGACUUUAAACAACACAAAACGCCCUCCCGACAGUAACACUAAAGAUGGUUUGACCAAUGACGUUUGACGACAGGACACGCCUUCCAUGCACUUCCACCUUGGGUUGGUAAAUAAAGAGAUAUUUCUUAGAGCAACUAUGGUAAAAAAAAUCAAAACGGCAGUCCUCUCUAAAGUUUCUCUACACUUUUGCCGAACGUACACAUAAAAUACUUCGCUCGCCCGCGUGUGGUCUGGCCUCUUUUUUUAAAGAAUGUACUACUACUUCGGUAGCUUUCUUUAACUGUUCAGGCAAGCUAAGCUAACAAUAAUGUGCUUUCCACCACUUAAACAAAUGGUUUGAAUAGCUAACAAAAAAAAUAUAAUAAAGGCAACUUUGCGCCAGAUACGAAAACAAUUUACGUCACCACGAUAAAAUGAGAGAAUAAUUCAGGUCAGCAUCUUCUGGGAAGCACGGCACCGGCACGGUGUACCAGCGGACGAGCAGACAUUAGCAACUUUGCCAUCUUUUCCGGCCUCUUUUUAGUCAGUUGCCUCACUUCCGGUGGCGAACUGACCAUUCGCUACACUCGUGGCUGCAGGCGCCACGGGUUCCCGGCUCGCCCUGUGCCCGUUCGACGUGGGCGGAAUACAAAUUGAAAUAAUCUAAUCCUCACAGCGAUAUGCUGGACCGAAUGGCCGCAGAAUGUUGCACACGAAAAAAGUGCACUCACUGUCCCUCCGUCUCUCACCUACUUCUUCUCGCUCUUUCUCCCUCACUUACACACACACACACACGCAUCAGUUGUGGUUUUAAAGCAAAAUGUAAAAAACAGCAUUUGCCGGAAGGAUUUGAUUCUUUUUUUUUUGUUCCUUUUGCUGGGGAUGUUUGAAAAGUGAGACACACAUAACGAAGACCAACUACGGAACAGUAACCUUCCGGUCGGUAUUCCAGUUCCAGGCUGGAUGGUACUGCUAGCCCCAGGCACUUAAAUGCUUCUGAGCGAUAAAACGAAUGUGCAAGAUGCAGAAAAGGAUAAUUGUUCAUUGAGCCCUUUAUCAUAUAAUUAGGCAUAUGUGUAUGUGUGUAUAUGUGUGUGUGAAUGUGUGUCUGCGUCCGAUGGCACUGUAGCUAAAGGCGCUGUGUAAAAAUCCUUUGUGGGAUAUUUUCUCACACGGGCUCCGUGACAUCAAACACAUUGCUGCUGCCAACCUCGUUAUAUGGUAUACGAUGAAAACAAUGUAGUAUUUCCUUUCCUCUAAUCUGAGCUCAUUCGCGUUAUCGAUUCGAAGCAAUUCGGUGAGAUGCACCUUUUACCGAACGGAAGUAUUGACCCCCUUUUGGUUGUAGAUAACUAUAAAUUAGAAUAGUACAAGAAAAGCAGUAACUGCAUGGCGUUGCCACUGCGGGCAUUCGGCCAACAAGGAGCAAGAAAUCGUGCUCGGAGCUCGUGGUUGGUGAUUUCUGAUUAUUGAUACAUCAUAGAUCUGUAAUCGACCGUUGUGUACAGUAUACUUGGCACAUUAAACACGGUGAUAUUAUGCGCUUUAAAAUAUAACGAUAGAAAUACAGAACAAUAUAUGAUAAGAAGCUCAUCGUCAUAGAUAUUGGUGGUAAGGAUUUCUAGCGGCUAAGCGAUAGGAAGCAGGAAAGAUAACUUCUCUCUGCUGUCUACUUUCAUAGUAUGCAUGAUUCUUCACCUUGCUGAUAUUCAAAACAAGCAACUGUCUAUUUAUUUAACUAUUGUAGUUCUAUCGUUUCAUCGAAAGUUGAACAUAGCAAACACUCUAUGCCCGUUUGAUACGUCUGUCAAUACAAUGACAAUGAUAAAUUCAAAGUCAAUGUGACAUGCUUCUUCUUCUUCUUCUUUGGCACAACAACCGUUGUCGAUCAAGGCCUGCCUUGUACCCACUAGUGAAGUGAGCUUGGCUUUCAGUGACUUAUUGUUACCAUAGCAGGAUAGUCAGUCCUACGUAUGGGGGCACGGUCUAUUCGGGGCUUGAACCCAUUACGGGCAUGUUGUUAAGUCGGACGAGUUGACGACUGUACCACCAGACCGGCCCAAUGCGACAUGCACUACGUUUAAAACACGACUUCAAAUCGAAUGUUCGAUAAAAUAAUGGAAUUCUUUGUUUAUAUAUUGUUUUGAGCAUUAGAUCCAGACAUAAACAAUGUGUUGCACAUAUUAGUUAUUGUUAUUGCAAUCUGUUUUUGUUAUUUUCAUCCAAAUUUAUCCCAAUGAGUAAAGCAAAUAUACAUUUAUUUCUCUUCUAAAUAUUUAUCGAACUUUGCGUUUGAGAUUCAAUUCUUACUGAAUUAAUUUUAACACAAUCUGCAUUAUUUUGGUUCGGAAAGUACAUUUACGUGGAGUACAUACUUCCAGUUUAAAUUAAACAAAACAUUACAACCUGCCACAGACGUAACACUGGCAUGGAUUUAAUUUUCUAUUAUGUACCACCACUGAAUGGAAGGCGCUUGUUUAAUGUUUGCUGAAUAGAAGGCGCACAUUUAAUGAGAUUGCUGUUGUAUUACAUAGUUGCUAUGUUUCUGGGGCAUUUGUCGCUGUCGGAAACUAUAUUUUUCAGCGUUUCUGAGAUUGUUACUUUUUUCAAUCCCAUGAAACAUGGAGCCUUUGUCGUUCAUAUUUUUUGCUACUACUCUUGUUGCAUUAUUUUAAAAGGGUUAGCGUUGUGCUUUGUAUUCGAAACAUAUAACGCUUUAGAAAAACAAACAAAUAAAGUUCUGCUUUACAUACUUUUUGCGUUUUAGAUUGCGCUAUCGUUUUCAAAUGUAUGUGUUACAUAAUGCAAUUAAAACCAUGCUAAACCCAUUCAAACAUCAGCACUUUGUAGAUCAUACUACCUACCACAACUAAAGAAUGAUUAAAAAACAAAGCUUCCCUUAUGAAAUGGUUUUCAUUUUUAUACAUAAAAUUCGCAACCUGAUGUAUUUAAACAAAAUGGACGCGAAGCUGCUUCAUCUAAACGCGACGGUAACGGACCUAACGUAAAGAUUUCCAAACCCGAACCGAUACCAUACCAGCUCGCUGGUUGGUGUAUCGUUCGACAUAUGUAAUUAUCCGAAUCAAAACUGCAUCAACUCAGCGAGCGUUACUACUACGCUACGCAAUUGUUUGGUUUCCACUGUUGACGUACUGAUAUAAUGUUGCUCCCUUUCAUAUCGUACCAUCGUGGUACAAUAGUCAUACAGUGAUAAGAUAAUUAUACCGAUAGCACAUAGAAAUAUACGCAUUAAGAGACUAAGAAGUUAGUAUGUAUAUCAAUAUAUAGCGAACCAAAUGUGAACUGAGUAUGGGAAGAAGAUGGUAGUCACGUUGACGAUGUGCAGUUGCUAGCUCGGUACUUCUUCUGCCAUACAGAGCUUACUUGUGUAACAGUUAGACGAAUGUGUUGGUUUAACAGUUGUUUUAUGUGCAUUGUUUUUAAUUAAUAUAUCGUACGAAUUAUUAUAGGUAUGGAAGAACUUCGUUUUUCGAUUGCUUUAGAUUUAUUGAACAGAGCUACAGAACUACAUAGCAUAACUAAAAAUAGAACUAAAUAAAUAAACGGUGCUUUAAACAGCUUUAACAUAAUUUAAUACACUCUUUUCUAAUUCAGGUAAUAUUAACCAAAGUCGUCGAAUAAGCUUGAGCAUGAACGAAGAAAACCAGCUAACAACUCACACCGUGCAAUCGUGACACACGUUUGCUUCAAUGACCUAUUGAAGCAAACAUGAAAAAAAGACAAACAUAAAAUUGCUUUGGAAGAUUGCUUUAAACAAUUGUACAUAAUUUUGAAACAAUUCAAACAAAACGAACGAAAAUCGAUCAACAGAGUAACAAACUAAAUACAAUAACACAACUAAGGUAGAUCACGGCACGACCGUAGCGUGUUGAUUGAGAAUGGGGUGUGGCUCGAAUUCAAACAUAAAAAUAGGAGAUUGAAUGCAAGAAGCGUAACGGCACGGCAACGGAGCACAGUCUCUGCCAAGAAAACUGUGCGUCAGAAGGAAAGCUCCGUUACGAUACGGGCAGGGUGGUGGUUUUUAACUGUAAAAGAUAACAUACUUUACCGCCUCCGCUUUUCACUGCAAUGCGGGGCAAAAUCGACGUAAAAACAAUAUCAACCCUGUUUGCAGCGUAUGUGUGCGAGAUGCUUUUCAAUUUCACCCUUUUCCAACCCGGUUACCGGGUGAAAAGUUUCAACCUCCUAUCAUUUAACACCCUAUCUCGGGAAACGGGAAACCCCGCUUUGUGUAACAUAACCAUCAAAAAGCAAGCUUCCUGUCGGGAAGGGAUUUUUUACACGCUGGGUUGUUUUGUCUGUUAUCAGAUUUCUUCUUAACACUUGUAAAGUGUAUUAACAUAUGGGACCUUCCCCAUCCUGCCAUUUGCUCGCUGAGAAUUUACGAACUUAGCUACAUUUCCCCCCCCCCCCCCCCCCCCACAUUAUCUGGUGUGCUAAAUUGCUACCGUGUCACUUAUAUACGUGCGACGGUACGAUGAAAGCUCGGACAGACAGUUUGCCUACAGGCUUUAAUAUAAUCAACCAAACACAUACACCUACCAUACUGUUGUUCCUAUACAUUUAACAUCGUUACAGAUUCUGCUAGCAAACAAAAAUCCUCCUACCACACAAUAUCCUUCGCAAAAAGUAAGAAUAGAAAAUGAAGCUAUACACAGCACACAAGCCCGAGCAUUAACAUAGAAAUUAACGCAUUAGAAAUAUUGACAACGUGCCUUAAGAUAUAUUUUGUGCUUUUGUUGUCGCUCGUUUUUCAUCGGGUGCAAGUGUAGGGAGUGGUGCAAAUAGUGGGAAAAUCUAUUUUUGAUAACUAAAAGCAUAAAAAGAGCAGAGCAAGUCCCUGCAACAAUUGAGGUGUACCAUUACGACCGUGGUACGGUGGUAUGCAGGGUGAGCCUGCGGGCUCAUGUGGGUUUUGUAUGGAUAUUAAGCAUCCCAGUAAGUGUGGAAAGCGAAUGAAAAAGGCGACAACAAAGCACGGAAUCAUUAACAAGAAACCUACUACUCAUGGUUAUGUGUUUCAUAUGGCCGGCAUAAAAAAGCUAGACGUAAGGAUCUUCCUGUACGGCUUGAGCCAACCGUCGGAAGGAUGUACCAAAUAAUGCUCACAAACAACUCAAUGCAUGCUCCUGGGGGUGUUGAAUGUUUAGAAAGCGUGCUGUGUUACAACACAGUUUUAUGUAUCUGUUAAUCCAUUUCACAAAUUGCACAGCUGCGUUUAAUGUUUAAUGCUUUGCUAUCUGGUUUUACACAAAACUUUCAAUUGAAAACCCAAAAUCUCUUAUACCUUUGCUUUAGAAAUCCACCUCUUUACUCGCUUCUGUUCCAAACACAACCGUUUAUCCUCCAUCAUGGUUCAUUACCACAGAAACGACAGAAAGAUAUGAAAAAACGCUAGAAUAACGAAACUAAACAAUACACCACGUAUUACCUAAAAGGCUUCCAUAUAAGUGUGUUGUCCCCCGGGGAGCAUACGACCGUCGGUUUGUAAAUAUUUGUUUAGAGAGGAAUGCUUUGUAAAUAUGUAGGCGCAGAUAACAUCCACCAACAAUCUCCCAAAAACAAACCGACCACAAAGACAUAUAAAUCCUGCAUAGUCAAGAUUUCCUUUCUCCAAUGUGUUUAUGUAUGUGUGUAUGUGUGUGUGCACAAAUAUACCAAAUAUACUAAGGUGGAAGUGCAAAGAAGGUCCAAUGUAGGUGGAAAACUAAGCGGAUUUAACGAAUAAACUUAGCCAUCGCCAGCACACAUUCACAUCGACACACAACUACUACACAACACAAAACAAGAUUCUGAAAUUCAAAAGGGACGUACUUCAGACCACGAAGUAGCAGGUGAACAAGACGCACAGGAAUGUACUUGUAAGGGACGGUGGGGGAAGGGAGGGAAGGCAUCUACAACGCUACAAGCAUACUCUCGAGACUCGGCAGGAUGCCUGUACGGUACACACACUCCGGUAGUAAUCUCCUUCGCCGUGGCUUCUCGUCGAAUACCCAGAAACCUAUCAUACACACGUACACUAUAUUCGUUCUGAUAUUUAGAUAGCGGCUUUAAUAAUUUGUUGACUCGAUUUUUAAGAUAUUCCAAUUGAAAGGUAAGCUACAAUUAGGCACUAAUUAGAGGCCCUAGAAAAGGAACACGUCUGGAAAGCUUAUUUCCAUCCGUGUCUGUGCGUGUGUGAGUGUGUAAGGAAAGAAACAUGCAAAGAGUAGAUGUUUAAAUGCGGUAGCCAGAUAAGGUACAAGGCAUAAUGGAUUAGGGCUAACAAUUCAGAACAAACUACAGGCAUGCACGGGGGGGAAGGUGCAACCCGUAUUUCCGUGGUAGGGUUACGCGAUUUCAACAAAAUUCCUUGAAUGAUAGAUUACACACUACUCCAGAGUCUAUAAUGAACUGUUAACUCGUUUCUCUGUAUAUUGCACGAUUUGCCUGUAACAGUACGUGCGUGUUUGUAUGUGCGGGUUGGCGUAAUAAUAUGAUAAGAACCGUUUGUAUGAGACUUAUGAAGCAUAGACAUACGCUCGCAUAACUAAACAGGACCCCAACGGAUAUGUAGGAGAUAGGACACCGAACAAAAUUAAAAAAAAAAACACCAUCCAAACCCGCAAACGAUUCAGCCGGUAGGGAGAACAUAUAAUCAAAAGUGUCCUACAGACGAGAUAAUGUAUAACAUGUAUCGGAUGAUGCAAUCGACAAAUAAAAGAGCAUUCUUUCGCAGCGAUAGGUUGCCAAAUUAAUCUGAUUGGGACAUUUCCAUGCAGUCAUGGAACAGCAGAGUGCCGGAAUAAAGAUUGCAGCUAUGUAGAUUACAUUGAUGAAAAAAUAUACAUAUAUUUUUGUUUACUUUUUUUACUAGCCUGCUCUCAUCUGCUACCAUAAAAACAUAAUCGUUUAAUUACAUCGCUGCAUAACAAACAGCUAAUCGGUAGGAAUGCUCCAAAUCGAUUAAAAAAAGAGAGAUAAACAGCAAGAUAAAACAUGCUAUAAAACAUGUACCGAACAUGAGCCGACCUGCUCGCGAUUACAAGACCUCCCCCACA